CCUGGCGGCCGUAGCGCGGUGGUCCCACCUGACCCCAUGCCGAACUCAGAAGUGAAACGCCGUAGCGCCGAUGGUAGUGUGGGGUCUCCCCAUGCGAGAGUAGG
rnacentral:rRNA from 3 species